rnacentral:rRNA from 1 species
GAUGAACGCUGGCGGCGUGCCUAAUACAUGCAAGUCGAACGAGGUGCCUUUGUAGCAAUACGAAGGUAUCCUAGUGGCGAACGGGUGAGUAACGCGUUGGUGACCUACCCCAAAGUGUGGGAUAACAGAUCGAAAGAUCUGCUAAUACCGCAUGUGGUCUUCGGAUUUAGAAACUGAUGACUAAAGGAGCAAUUCGCUUUGGGAGGGACCUGCGUCCCAUCAGCUAGUUGGUGAGGUAAUGGCUCACCAAGGCUACGACGGGUAGGGGACCUGAGAGGGUGGCCCCCU